GAUGAACGCUAGCGGCAGGCCUAAUACAUGCAAGUCGAACGGUAAGUAGAAUAGCAAUAUUUUACCAAGAGUGACGCACGGGUGCGUAACACGUAUGCAACCUACCCUUUACAGGCGGAUAGCUCGGGGAAACUCGAAUUAACCCGCCAUAAUAUAAUUGAAUGGCAUCAUUUGAUUAUUAAAUCUGCGGAGGUAAAGGAUGGGCAUGCGUCUGAUUAGUUAGUUGGUAGUGUAACGGACUACCAAGACGAUGAUCAGUAGGGGAACUGAGAGGUUGAUCCCCCA
rnacentral:rRNA from 1 species